CGCCCAGACUCCUACGGGAGGCAGCAGUGGGGAAUAUUGCACAAUGGGGGAAACCCUGAUGCAGCGACGCCGCGUGAGCGAUGAAGUAUUUCGGUAUGUAAAGCUCUAUCAGCAGGGAAGAAAAUGACGGUACCUGACUAAGAAGCCCCGGCUAACUACGUGCCAGCAGCCGCGGUAAUACGUAGGGGGCAAGCGUUAUCCGGAUUUACUGGGUGUAAAGGGAGCGUAGACGGCAAUGCAAGCCAGAUGUGAAAGCCCGGGGCUCAACCCCGGGACUGCAUUUGGAACUGUGUAGCUGGAGUGCAGGAGGGGCAGGCGGAAUUCCUGGUGUAGCGGUGAAAUGCGUAGAUAUCAGGAGGAACACCGGUGGCGAAGGCGGCCUGCUGGACUGCAACUGACGUUGAGGCCCGAAAGCGUGGGGAGCAAACAGGAUUAGAUACCCUAGUA
rnacentral:rRNA from 1 species